rnacentral:lncRNA from 1 species
GCCGGCGGCGCUCCUGCCCGCUGAUUCGCAGCUGCCCGCGGCUCCCACGCUCUACUGCCCGGGUCCCUGCCCCGCGAGGCGCCCAAUUACCCGCUUACCUUCCGCCCUCACACCUGGCCUCCCGAAAGGCGCUUUCGUUGUCUCCGCCAGGCGGUGCAGUAGCUGAUGGAGAUGAAAGGCGUGAGGAGCUGCUUUGAGGACCAAAGCCGCGACAUCCCACCACCUGGCCAAGAGCACUGUUCGUGACCGACCCCUUGCCCUAAAUACCCGUCUGUAUUGCUCGGGACCCGCAGGAGCGACUCUCUGAAAGCGGCUGGCUCUGUGGGCCGGGGCGCUUCCCAGGGACUGGCCGCUGCUAUGUCUUUGCUUUAGGAGCCGAAGUGAAGCGACGGAAGACUGCUGUUGGUGCCUCCUGCGGUACCUGAACACGGGAGCGACCGGCGCGGGAUGCAGGGCGGUGACGCUAAAGCUUGUGCUUCUUUCUUCAGUGAAGGGACACAUCCACCUUGAGUUCCUGGACAGGAAAAGGGCUUCGAACGCCAAGAGCAAGUAUGGAGGCACUGAGAUGGAAAGCAGUUUUCAGCAAAGGAGGAAAAGCUUGGGAGCCUGGCAUUCACAGGGGUGUCUGCGGGCAUGUCUGCCCGAGGUCUGGGAGCAGGAAUGACAAGAGACCUCACACUCGGCAGCCUGGGGGCAGCUCCGGGGACCAGGAGCCGGGCCUUCGGAAGGAAAGAUCCCCGGGUCCCGGAGACAGCGGCUACACCGCACAGGGCAGACGACCCGACUCCGACUGAACAGGUACGGCUGAAAGAGACCUCACGUGCCCUGGGUGGCACUGCACUGACCGACAGCUCUCAUCCCACAUUUGCCUGAACCCAGAGAAUGACAACGCCAAGAGCGAGCCCUGCUGCAGACCGUGGACUCUGGUCGUCUGGGUAGGUUCUGAGUGUGUGUGUGUGUGGGGGGGGCGUUGGUAAUGGGGAGACUGUGCGAGCGGGGACAUGGGUGGACUUUAUUGGGAACCCCUGGACUUUCCUGUCCAUGUUGCUGUGAACCUUCAACUGCACCAAAAACUAAAAUCUAUUAAAAAAUACGUUAUAACCGCCACUUAGGAUAAUGCAGAUUUUCUUGCUCUUUCCAGAACCUCCAGAGACAGCUGUAAGAAAAUGAAUUGACUUUUGCUCAAAACACAGAAAUCCUCAGAACCAAAAAUAAUCCCAGGAAGGAAAUAAAAUACAAGACACGCAGAAUUCCGCA